CAGCGGAUGGAUUUAUUUUUGGCGUUUUUGUGAGCGCGCGCAACGCCGCCCGGCCCACGCGAGUCGGAAGGCGUGACGUCACGAAACCCGCGUCGGAUAGCCAGCCGGCCUGCCGCGGUCAUUCAAGGCGCGCCGCCGGCGUCAUCGCGAGCAUGGAUACGAGUUCAGGCGCCUCUACCAGCGAUGAGUGUAUCUCUGAAGACGAGGACCGUUCCAGCUUGGCAAAACAUAUAAUCGCUUACGAGCCUUCCGCGUCAAGCGACGAAGAGGAGCAGGUCGCCGUAGACGUGCCGGUCAGGCAGCCCGGGCCAGCAACAUGGUGCUCCUGCGGUCACCGCUGCGGCGACAUGCCUACGGAAAAAGAAAGGGUCUGUUGUACAGAGCAGCAAAAGGUGGCAAACGCCGCUGAAACCUACGAAUGCAUCACGAAGCACCCGCUUUUUCAAUUGUAUUGCCUGAAUAGGCACAUACUCGACCUGGAAUACCUCAAGUUGAAGCAUUACUGCCCAUACUACCUUGGACAACGCACCUUGAAUGAGCAAUACCGAUACACUGCCUACCGACAGUUUGUUUGGUGGGUGUACAGGCGACUUGGUCAAGGUAACCGGGUCGUUUUGCCAAGCUGUGCUGUCCACAGAAUCAGGAAAGAGUUCCC